rnacentral:rRNA from 1 species
CGCGGCCUAUCAGCUUGUUGGUGGGGUAACGGCCUACCAAGGCGACGACGGGUAGCUGGUCUGAGAGGACGACCAGCCACACUGGGACUGAGACACGGCCCAGACUCCUACGGGAGGCAGCAGUGGGGAAUCUUGCGCAAUGGGCGAAAGCCUGACGCAGCGACACCGCGUGGGGGAUGAAGGCCUUUCAGGUCGUAAACCCCUUUCGGCAGGGACGAAGCGAUCUCGUGACGGUACCUGCAGAAGAAGCCUCGGCUAACUACGUGCCAGCAGCCGCGGUAACACGUAGGAGGCGAGCGUUGUCCGGAAUCAUUGGGCGUAAAGAGCGCGCAGGCGGCUCGGCAAGUCGGGUGUGAAAUCCCGGGGCUCAACCCCGGGACUGCAUUCGAUACUGUCAGGCUAGAGGUAGGUAGGGGAGAUCGGAAUUCCUGGUGUAGCGGUGAAAUGCGCAGAUAUCAGGAGGAACACCGGUGGCGAAGGCGGAUCUCUGGGCCCUACCUGACGCUCAGGCGCGAAAGCUAGGGGAGCGAACAGGAUUAGAUACCCUGGUAGUCCUAGCCGUAAACGUUGGGUGCUAGGUGUGGGCGGAUAUCAACCCCGUCCGUGCCGAAGCUAACGCAUUAAGCACCCCGCCUGGGGAGUACGG